CGCGUAGGUAACCUGCCUGGUAGCGGGGGAUAACUAUUGGAAACGAUAGCUAAUACCGCAUAAGAACAUUUACUGCAUGGUAGAUGUUUAAAAGGUGCAAAUGCAUCACUACCAGAUGGACCUGCGUUGUAUUAGCUAGUAGGUGAGGUAACGGCUCACCUAGGCGACGAUACAUAGCCGACCUGAGAGGGUGAUCGGCCACACUGGGACUGAGACACGGCCCAGACUCCUACGGGAGGCAGCAUG
rnacentral:rRNA from 1 species